GCAGUCGCCGCGGGAAUACGUAGGGUGCAAGCGUUAAUCGGAAUUACUGGGCGUAAAGCGUGCGCAGGCGGUUAUAUAAGACAGAUGUGAAAUCCCCGGGCUCAACCUGGGACCUGCAUUUGUGACUGUAUAGCUAGAGUACGGUAGAGGGGGAUGGAAUUCCGCGUGUAGCAGUGAAAUGCGUAGAUAUGCGGAGGAACGCCGAUGGCGAAGGCAAUCCCCUGGACCUGUACUGACGCUCAUGCACGAAAGCGUGGGGAGCAAACAGGAUUAGAGACCCCAGUAGUCCCUGUCUCUUAUAC
rnacentral:rRNA from 1 species